GAUGAACGCUAGCGGCAGGCCUAAUACAUGCAAGUCGAACGGUGUCUUCGGACAUAGUGGCGCACUGGUGCGUAACACGUAUGCAACCUACCUUACAUUGGGGGAUAGCCUUUCGAAAGGGAGAUUAAUACCGCGUAAGACAGUAGCUGGGCAUCCAGCAGCUGUUAAAGAUUUAUCGAUGUAAGCUGGGCAUGCGUCCAAUUAGCUAGUUGGUGAGGUAACGGCUCACCAAGGCAAUGAUUGGUAGGGGAACUGAGAGGUCAAUCCCCCACACUGGCACUGAGAUACGGGCCAGACUCCUACGGGAGGCAGCAGUAGGGAAUAUUGGGCAAUGGGCGCAAGUCUGACCCAGCCAUGCCGCGUGCAGGAUGAAGGCGUUAUGCGUUGUAAACUGCUUUUAUACAGGAAGAAACGACUCUUGCGAGAGGCAUUGACGGUACUGUAUGAAUAAGCACCGGCUAACUCCGUGCCAGCAGCCGCAGUAACAC
rnacentral:rRNA from 1 species